rnacentral:lncRNA from 1 species
AAAAAAAAAACCACUCCAGGCUUUGAAGAGCCCAAAGGCCAGUGUUGUGUUAUCAGCCUGAUGCAGCCUGAAAAGGUGCUCAACAACUCAAGUUUAAAGACCAGAACUAGAAAAGUAACUGGGCUAAGAAAACAGCCAAUAUUUUGGCACUUUGCCUUCAAGGUCUACAAACAACCCAGGACAUGGUAGAACAGUUUCUACAAGAUCCUAUAACUUUGGUAAGUCACCCAACCUCCUAAAUAAGAAGUUUAUUG